UUGGUGAUGUCGAGAAAGUUAUUUGA
rnacentral:piRNA from 1 species